rfam:Picea glauca, whole genome shotgun sequence.
GUACAUGGCUAUAGCUUUAAUGCACCAGAUCCCAUAAGAACUCUGAAGUUAAGUGCACUUGGGCAAGAGCAAUACUAGGAUGGAUGACCUCUCAAGAAGUCCUAGUGUUUUAGAUG